UCAAAAACAUCUCUUUCUGAGGUAAGUAUAGAAAGUAGGCCCUGCCCGGUGAAUUUUUAUUUUAAACGGAAAUUAAAUUUUAAAGUAGCGUAAUAGUUUGUCCCUUAAUUAGGGUCUGGAAUGAAGGGGUUGACGAGAGGAUAGCUGUCUUUGGAGGAUUUUUUGAAAUUUUCUUCUUAGUGAAAAGCCUGAGAUGAUUAUAAAAGACGAGAAGACCCCGUCGAGCUUAAUCUAAUGAUUAGGGGCUUCAAGAUUGAGGCUGCUUUUUAUGAAAGUUUGUUGGGAUAACAACGGAGAAGUUAAAUCUCUGUUUAGAAUGGUACGUGUAUCCAGUUUUAUUGAAUUAGGAAAAAGUUACCGCGGGGAUAACAGCGCAAGACCACUGUAGAGUUCGUAUCUAAGGUGGUAGGUGCGACCUCGAUGUUGGAUUAGGGUUACUUUUUGGCGCA
rnacentral:rRNA from 1 species